rnacentral:rRNA from 1 species
CCCAGACUCCUACGGGAGGCAGCAGUGGGGAAUAUUGCACAAUGGGGGAAACCCUGAUGCAGCGACGCCGCGUGAGCGAGGAAGUAUUUCGGUAUGUAAAGCUCUGUCAGCAGGGAAGAAGAAUGACGGUACCUGAAGAAGAAGCACCGGCUAAAUACGUGCCAGCAGCCGCGGUAAUACGUAUGGUGCAAGCGUUAUCCGGAUUUACUGGGUGUAAAGGGAGCGCAGGUGGUUCUGCAAGUCUGAUGUGAAAGCCCGGGGCUCAACCGCGGGACUGCAUUGGAAACUGCGGGACUGGAGUGUCGGAGGGGUAAGCGGAAUUCCUGGUGUAGCGGUGAAAUGCGUAGAUAUCAGGAGGAACACCGGUGGCGAAGGCGGCUUACUGGACGAUGACUGACGCUGAGGCUCGAAAGCGUGGGGAGCAAACAGGAUUAGAUACCCCCGUACCG